rnacentral:tRNA from 1 species
GGACAGGUGUCCGAGUGGCUGAAGGAGCCGGUCUCGAAAACCGGUAUACCCUCACGGGUAUCGUGUGUUCGAAUCCCACCCUGUCCG